ACGCUCGACACCUCGGGAGCAGCAGUGGGGAAUAUUGGGCAAUGGAGGCAACUCUGACCCAGCAACGCCGCGUGAGUGAUGAAGGUCUUCGGAUUGUAAAACUCUUUAAGUAGGGACGAAGAAAGUGACGGUACCUACAGAAUAAGCCUCGGCUAACUACGUACNCGCNGCCGCCGGUAAGUACUGAGCGGGCCGGUGGCGAACGGACG
rnacentral:rRNA from 1 species